GAAGCUUCCUCUGCGACUGCGCGGGCUCAGCGCGCGCUCGCUUGUCUCCUGGCGGCGGCUCGCGUUUCCAGUCAGGUUCUGUCGAGGGAGGGGAGGUCGGUGCAGCCUGCACUCUCUGAACAGUUCACUUAAAGAAGACUGGCUCCUCUGUUUGCUGGAUAUUUAAAGCUGGUGCAGGAGAAGGUGGGCAGGGUCUGCCCCAAGGGCUCUGAGACAAGCUUCUCCGAUGCUGCAGAAUCUGCUCUGGGCUGAAGCGCCCAGCAGGGACUUGCUCUGCCCUGCCGGAGCCCACAGGAAGCAGCCCUGAGUCUAAUAAGACCCAGCGCGGGCACAACAAAGGCCGGGCGGCUGCCUAACAAGCUGUUGCCGCAGCACUCAAGACUCAUCGGGGCCAUGACAGAGGCAGCCAGCGAGUCUCCCCAGGAAGAGAACAGGAGGAAGAGGCCGCAGACAGUGCCAGCAGAAACUAGGAGAAGAACAGAUUAAGAAGAGGUGGAAGGAAAGGAGCCCCUUCGCGGACGUGGGCCUACCUAGAGCCGCCAGGAACUCGUGACAGCCGGGGAGCCGCCACAGCUGGACGCUGAUGGACACCUGGA